UGGGGAAUUUUGGACAAUGGGCGAAAGCCUGAUCCAGCAAUGCCGCGUGUGUGAAGAGGGCCUUCGGGUUGUAAAGCACUUUUGUCCGGAAAGAAAUCCUUGGCUCUAAUACAGUCGGGGGAUGACGGUACCGGAAGAAUAAGCACCGGCUAACUACGUGCCAGCAGCCGCGGUAAUACGUAGGGUGCAAGCGUUAAUCGGAAUUACUGGGCGUAAAGCGUGCGCAGGCGGUUUGCUAAGACCGAUGUGAAAUCCCCGGGCUCAACCUGGGAACUGCAUUGGUGACUGGCAGGCUAGAGUAUGGCAGAGGGGGGUAGAAUUCCACGUGUAGCAGUGAAAUGCGUAGAGAUGUGGAGGAAUACCGAUGGCGAAGGCAGCCCCCCGGGCCAAUACUGACGCUCAUGCACGAAAGCGUGGGGAGCAAACAGGAUUAGAUACCCUGGUAGUCCACGCCCUAAACGAUGUCAACUAGUUGUUGGGGGAUUCAUUUCCUUAGUAACGUAGCUAACGCGUGAAGUUGACCGCCUGGGGAGUACGGUCGCAAGAUUAAAACUCAAAUGAAUUGACGGGGUCAUAGCUG
rnacentral:rRNA from 1 species